rnacentral:lncRNA from 1 species
CUGGGAUUUUACUCAUUCUGUCCCUUAGGGAUUCCUAAUCUUCUCUGUAGUCCUGGAACUCUGGAAGGGAUUGCCCAUGGGAGGGUUCCUUCCCAGCUAGAUUUGUGAACCACAGCCUAUCAUGACUGAUCUCCAGGUCUGACAGUGGGAAGCAGAUGACCUCCUGCAGCCUACAGAAGGCACUGACUGAAUAGUUAAUGUCCACAACAGAAGAAAUGGGCACAUAAACUCUCUGAGAGUAUUCGUUCUGCUGCAGCGAUGGGGAGAAUGUACUGAAGCCCGUGUUUCAAGAUGAAGUGGAGCCAGGUCUCGUGGAGCUCAUAUCUCACGCAGAAGUCAAACACAGAGUUUGUGCAUAAGGAAGAGAGAGUAGGGGCUGAUCUGAUCAAGCCACCAGCUGGUGUCUCAAGUGACUCCUUUUCAAGGUGAUACCUCACAUAUGUGGUGUAAUACCGGGUCCAGAGUCUAAUAGACUGUGUGGCAUAGAAGGUCCUAGAAGAUCCAAGAAGGAAGGAAGAACAUUCCCUAGCCUGGUGAGGAAGACUUAGAGGAAAAGGUACUGUCUAUGAGAGCCGGGAUGGAAAUGACCCCUUCCUACCUGACUUCUGGGUUUCCAACUAAGAGGCCUGAUGCCUCUGAGCCUCUCCCAGGUCCUGGGAGAUGAUUACAUUUCAUGAAACAGAGUGAUUGAUUGACCUUUUGAAAUGUCAGCAGCCGCUCCUGGGCUCCAGGGGAUUUUUGUGGGCCUCAUGUAUCCGCACUAGCAAGCCUCUUGUCUAAUGGGCAAGAUAUCAGUGAGAAGGGAGCUGGCAGUGGAGGACCUGAGGCACAAAACCAUCCACAGGGUUUGAACAAAUCCAGUCGGCAUGAGGUCAGAGCACAGGAGAGUGCAGCAAGAAGGUAGGGGAGGCAAGAAGCUGUUGGGAUCUGUUGCUGAGCUGGGUACUAAUUUAGUUCCCAACACACUUCUUGUAGAAGAGGGAGUCACUGCCCUGGGAAUCAUCCUAGAUGCUUACUUCUGCCAAAAUCAUGGCAUUGUGAUCAUGACCUGCUGGUACAAAAUUGGAGAGCU